CGUACCUUUUGUAUAAUGGACUAGCAACUUAUUUUACAAGGCAAGCUAAAAAUUAUAAUUUUAGGCAAUAGGAAACUAAAUUUUAAAGGAGUACAGUAGUUAUGUAAAUUAGACCCGAAGCCAAGUGAGCUAGCUGUGAGUAGGUUGCAUACUUCCUAAAAGCUUGUUGAAAGACCGAACCUAUGCCUGUGGAAAAAGGCUAGGAUGACUUGCAGCUAGGGGUGAAAGGCUUAUCAAACUUGGAGAUAGCUGGUUUUCUGUGAAAUGUAUUUAAGUACAGUGUUCAAUAUAGAUUAAAUAGGGUAAAGCACACUAGUUUACAUUUUGGGAAGGUAAUACUUCUACUUGUGUAACUUAACCUUAGAAUAUGAUUGAAUUAUUAUUUAAUAAUGGGAGAAGGGGCGAAAAGGUCCUAUCUCUAGAAGGCAAUAGCCUAAAGUGUAAACUAUGGUCUACAAAAAAUUGUUUAGUGCAAAGAAGAAAGUAAAUAAAUAUAGACAACCGGGAGGUGGGCUUGGAAGCAGCCAUCCUAUAAUGAAAGCGUAACAGCUCACCGGUCAAAUAUGAUUUAGAUGCAUCGAUAAUGUUUGGGCUAAAACAAUUUACCAAAGUUGCUUAGCAUUUCGCAGAUGUCAUGGUAGUAGACCAACAAUCUAAUUUUUGUUAGAAAUGAUAAUGCUGGUAUGAGUAACGAUAAAUAUUGUAUUAAACAAUAUCGCCGCAAGUUGAAGGUUUUCUCAUAAUAAAUAAUUGCAUGAGAGUUAGACGGUCCCUAAGAAUAAUUUGAAAAAAGUAUUUGAUGGGAAGGAGAUUUAUACUUCUCUUUUCGCUUAGAGUGACGAAGAAUGGCUCAUGAAAAAAAACUUAGUUAAAAGUUUUUUCAUUUUCCGUUUUUCCUAGAAAAAGCUCUGGCAAAUUUAGAACCGUACUUAAACCGACACAGGUAAAAGGGCAUAAUAUGCUCAGGCGCUUGAAAAAAUAGUAUUAAAGGAACUCGGCAAAAUGAUUCCGUAACUUUGGGAAAAGGAAUACCAGCUUUAGUUUAUGCUAACUCGAGGUGUAACGGAAAAGGGGGUAGCGACUGUUUACUAAAAACACAGGACUCUGCAAAAUUUUAUAAUUACGUAUAGGGUCUGACGUCUGUCCGGUGCUGCAAGGUUAAAAUGAGAAGUGAAAGCUUUAAAUAUAAGCCCCAGUAAACGACAGCUGUAACUCUGACGGUUCAAAGGUAGCGAAGUUCCUUGUCGAGUAAUUUUCGACGUGCAUGAAUGGCGUAACGACUGCCCUACUGUCUCUAAUACUAAUUCAGUGAAAUUGAAAUUUCCGUGAAGAUGCGGAAUGGCCACGGCUAGACGGAAAGACCCUAUGCACCUUUACUACAUCUUUACAUUGUUACUAGAAAAUUGUUGUGUAGAAUAAGUGGGAGCCUACGGGCCCCAGCGCAAGCUGGUUGUUCUAGCGUCAAUGAAAUACCACUCUUCAAGGUUCUAGUAACUAAACCAUUUAUUUUGAAACAGUGUAUGGUUGGUAGUUUGACUGGGGUGGUCGCCUUCUAAAAGGUAGCGAAGGCGCGCAAAGGUAGGUUCGAAUUAGUUUUACCGCUAAUUCAAGAGCGCAAUGGUAUAUACUUGCUUAACUGUGAGAUGGACAGAUCGAACAGAGACGAAAGUCGGCCAUAGUGAUCCGACGAUGUUAUAUGGACAAGUCGUCGCUUAACGGAUAAAAGGUACGCUAGGGAUAACAGGCUGAUGGUUCUUGAGGGUCCUAACUGAUGGAACCGUUUGGCACCUCGAUGUCGGCUCAUCACAUCCUGGAAGUGAAGGUGCCUCCAAGGGUUCGGCUGUUCGCCGAUUAAAGUGGUACGUGAGCUGGGUUUAGAACGUCGUGAGACAGUUCGGUCCCUAUCUACC
rnacentral:rRNA from 1 species